GUACUCUCUUCAGUGGCACAUAGCCUAAAAGUGGAAUGAUACAGAGAAGGUUAGUAUGGUGCCUAAGUUAAGAGCUGCCUAUGCAAAUUUGUUAAGCUUUCCACAUUUUU
rnacentral:snRNA from 1 species